UGGGGAAUUUUGGACAAUGGGCGAAAGCCUGAUCCAGCAAUGCCGCGUGUGUGAAGAAGGCCUUCGGGUUGUAAAGCACUUUUGUCCGGAAAGAAAUCCUUGGCUCUAAUACAGUCGGGGGAUGACGGUACCGGAAGAAUAAGCACCGGCUAACUACGUGCCAGCAGCCGCGGUAAUACGUAGGGUGCAAGCGUUAAUCGGAAUUACUGGGCGUAAAGCGUGCGCAGGCGGUUUGCUAAGACCGAUGUGAAAUCCCCGGGCUCAACCUGGGAACUGCAUUGGUGACUGGCAGGCUAGAGUAUGGCAGAGGGGGGUAGAAUUCCACGUGUAGCAGUGAAAUGCGUAGAGAUGUGGAGGAAUACCGAUGGCGAAGGCAGCCCCCUGGGGCCAAAUACUGACGCUCAUGCACGAAAAGCGUGGGGAGCAAACAGGAUUAGAUACCCUGGUAGUCCACGCCCUAAAACGAUGUCAACUAGUUGUUGGGGAUUCAUUUCCUUAGUAACGUAGCUAACGCGUGAAGUUGACCGCCUGGGGAGUACGGUCGCAAGAUUAAAACUCAAAUGAAUUGACGGGGUCAUAGCUGUUUCCU
rnacentral:rRNA from 1 species